rnacentral:rRNA from 1 species
UACGGAGGAUGCGAGCGUUAUCCGGAUUUAUUGGGUUUAAAGGGUGCGUAGGCGGGUUAUCAAGUCAGCGGUAAAAUCGUGGAGCUCAACUUCAUCCAGCCGUUGAAACUGAUGAUCUUGAGUGGGCGAGGAGUAUGCGGAAUGCGUGGUGUAGCGGUGAAAUGCAUAGAUAUCACGCAGAACUCCGAUUGCGAAGGCAGCAUACCGGCGCCCGACUGACGCUGAAGCACGAAAGCGUGGGUAUCGAACAGG